AACGAACGCUGGCGGCAUGCCUAACACAUGCAAGUCGAACGAGACCUUCGGGUCUAGUGGCGCACGGGUUCGUAACGCGUGGUAACCUGCCCUUAGGUUCGGAAUAACUCCCCGAAAGGUGUGCUAAUACCGGUUAAUGUCUUCUGACCAAAGAUUUAUCGCCUUUGGAUGGGCCCGCGUUGGAUUAGCUAGUUGGUAGGGUAAAAGCCUACCAAGGCGACGAUCCAUAGCUGGUCUGAGAGGAUGAUCAGCCACACUGGUACUGAGACACGGCCCAGACUACUACGGGAGGGAGCAGUGGGGAAUAUAGGAAAAUGGGCGAAAGCAUGAUCAAGCAAGGCCGGGUGAGUGAUGAAGGCAUGAGGGUUGUAAAGCUAUUUUACCCGGGAUGAUAAUGACAGUAACGGGAGAAUAAGCUCCGGCUAACUCCGUG
rnacentral:rRNA from 1 species